AGAGUUUGAUCCUGGCUCAGGAUGAACGCUGGCGGCGUGCCUAAUACAUGCAAGUCGAGCGAACCACUUCGGUGGUGAGCGGCGAACGGGUGAGUAACACGUAGGUGAUCUGCCCAUCAGACGGGGACAACGAUUGGAAACGAUCGCUAAUACCGGAUAGGACGAAAGUUUAAAGGUGCUUCUGGCACCGCUGAUGGAUGAGCCUGCGGCGCAUUAGCUAGUUGGUAGGGUAAAGGCCUACCAAGGCGACGAUGCGUAGCCGACCUGAGAGGGUGAACGGCCACACUGGGACUGAGACACGGCCCAGACUCCUACGGGAGGCAGCAGUAGGGAAUCUUCGGCAAUGGGCGAAAGCCUGACCGAGCAACGCCGCGUGAAUGAUGAAGGCCUUCGGGUUGUAAAAUUCUGUUAUAAGGGAAGAACGACUUUAGUAGGAAAUGGCUAGAGUGUGACGGUACCUUAUGAGAAAGCCACGGCUAACUACGUGCCAGCAGCCGCGGUAAUACGUAGGUGGCGAGCGUUAUCCGGAAUUAUUGGGCGUAAAGAGCGCGCGGGUGGUUGAUUAAGUCUGAUGUGAAAGCCCACGGCUUAACCGUGGAGGGUCAUUGGAAACUGGUCGACUUGAGUGCAGAAGAGGGAAGUGGAAUUCCAUGUGUAGCGGUGAAAUGCGUAGAGAUAUGGAGGAACACCAGUGGCGAAGGCGGCUUCCUGGUCUGUAACUGACACUGAGGCGCGAAAGCGUGGGGAGCAAACAGGAUUAGAUACCCUGGUAGUCCACGCCGUAAACGAUGAGUGCUAAGUGUUGGGGGUCGAACCUCAGUGCUGAAGUU
rnacentral:rRNA from 1 species